rnacentral:misc_RNA from 1 species
CUUUACAGCAGAAAUACAUGUAUUACUUAAUUUUAACCAUUUUAUCAUUUUAUACUACCAUUUCCCUAAUUUGCCAAAAGGUUUCCUGCACUCACACUUAUUACAGAAAGGUUUGAUUGUAAAGUAAUAAAAAAGCUCACAAGCUGAUGAUGCAAUCAAGGAUACAAUAUUAUUUAAGCGGUACAAGCACAGAAGAACAAGUAGUUUCUCAUUAAGUGAUGAAAGACGAGAUAAACAAAAAACAUAAGCGAUUUUGGCUUUAGCAUUCAUAUAAACUAAAAGCAAGCUGCAAUGUUAUAUGUACUCAAACAAGUUGUGAAUUAGUCAACAUGAAAUAACCCAAAUUCCCCACAUCUUGCUCCUUUUCCAGUUCUGGCAAGCUCGUCAAAUAAGGUUGACUAGUUUUCAACGAAAAAAACCAAUACAAAGUCAUCUCUAAACGGAAACAGUUGAGGGGAAAAAAAAAA